CCCCUCCGCAUCUACAGCACGCAGAGUUGUUACGUGAGGGCUCCGGGGUUGGCAAACGGCAGAGAUACACAUUUUGCACCCACGGGAAAAGAAAGGGGGGCAAUGGGGGGAGAGCAGAGCAAACGCACCGCGUCAGCAGCGCGCUGCUGGGAACGAGCCGAGCCUCUGACGUCACGUAACCCCCAUUCACAUCAACCGGCCCCGAAGUGUGACGCUCAGUGUCCGGAGCCUUCGGACAGAACCACCCGCACCCCUCAGCCCAGCGGGGGCCGAAGUUGGGGCAGCUCUGUUGUCGGUGUAUUUCGGGGGGAGGGGGGGGAUGAAUGGGUUUAAUCGGAAG
rnacentral:lncRNA from 1 species